rnacentral:rRNA from 1 species
GGCGGCGUGGAUUAGGCAUGCAAGUCGAACGGUAUCAUCCGUUUCGGGGGUGAGAGAGUGGCGAACUGGUGAGUAAUGCGUGGAUAAUCUGCCCUUUAGUUGGGAAUAACGUACCGAAAGGUGCGCUAAUACCUGAUAAUACUGCAUAACUACUGUUGUGUAGUCAAAGAAGGCCUCUGUUUACAAGCUUUUGCUGAAGGAUGAGUCCGCGUACCAUUAGCUGGUUGGUGGGGUAAUGGCCUACCAAGGCUACGAUGGUUAGCUGGUCUGAGAGGAUGAUCAGCCACACUGGAACUGAGACACGGUCCAGACUCCUACGGGAGGCAGCAGUGAGGAAUAUUGCGCAAUGGGGGCAACCCUGACGCAGCAACGCCGCGUGAGUGAGGAAGGUUUUCGGACCGUAAAGCUCUGUCGAGCGGGAAGAAAUGUAUCAUGGCUAAUAUCCAUGAUACUUGACGGUACCGCUAAAGGAAGCACCGGCUAACUCCGUG